rnacentral:lncRNA from 1 species
UUCCGGGAGAGCUCAGCGCCGUGGGGCGCUCCGAUCAACGCCGGGAGCGCGCGCGUUGUUGCCGGGCUGCCCCGUUCCUUUCCCGUGCCACCACGGCAGCUGCGUCUCACGGGGGAGGGACAGAACGUGUCGGAAGCUCAAUCCGGGUCCGGCCACGGCCUCCGCCCCAUCCCGGCAGCGCGGAGCGGAGUCCCCGCGGGGAACGGUGGCGCGCCGGGUUGCGAGCAGAGAAGGAGAGGAACCCAGGAAUUGUUUUCUGUGCACGCACCGCACGGCUGCUCCAGCUGCGGGAACGCCGCCGUGCCGCGCACAGCGCCCCAUUCCCGCCGGGUGCCGCGUGGCGCUGCGUGCAGUUCGGCGGUGCGCCCUGCAGGGGGCGCUGCGCGCCGUUCUGCUGCUGCCGGCGCCAAUCCGCUCCCGGGCCGCCCCGCGCGGCGCUGCUCGGCGGCGUCCGACAUCGGCGGCACAUCGUGCGGAGCGCCGUCUGUCCUUCGGGGGUGUCGCGGUUGUGCGUCACACGGAGGGGCCGCGACACCAAGCGGGAGAAGCUCAGCCCGGGGCUGCGGGUCACAACGGAGGAGCGCUGCGCUCACAGAGCUGCGCGGGGCGGGGAGCCGUCCUGACAAAGCCGCGUUGUGUCCAAACGCAGACAGUGCGGAAAGCGAUGGGUCGGGUUAAGGGCGGAGAGCCGCGCGGCAGAGCAAAACGGGGGUGAAGAGAAAGCUGCUGAAGGCCGCGAGAAGUGCCGCGUGCGGUGGGAUUUCCCGCUGAUCGCCUCCCGGCCCGGCCGGCCCAGCAGCGCGCAGAGAAGCAGCCACGGAGGAGCGGCGCCGCGCGGACCGCACCGCGUCACGGCCGGGACGUCCGGGAAGGGCGGCGCAGCCCCUCCAGCCGCGGCCCAUCGGAGCGCACUGCGCGGCCCGCACGGAAAUGCCGGCAUUGAUUCGGUUGUCGCAACGCGCCUCCGUUCUGGAAAGUUUUCUUGAGCUCCUAAGAAAGGGCUCCCGAAGCAUUAAGCUCCACAGGAACGGUCUGCUUGUGGGUUACCAGAGCUGGCAGGGAUGGGGUCAGGAGCAGCGGGGCACGGGUGUGCGGUCCUGCUGUGUAUUAAAUAGCGAUUGGAGCGGAGGAGGGAGAAGGAAACCACGAAUAACAGCAGCACCGUCUGUGGGAGUCAGGUGUUGUUCUGCAGAGUAAUAAAGGACGAAGCUGAGUAAAAAGGGUCACAGAACUGCAGGGCGUGGGGAACCUGAGCAGCAGCAAAGGACUCGGUGUGAGCAGGUGGUGCACGCGGGGCACAGCCCACGCACCGGGUGGGCUCUGCUCUCUGCCAACGCCUCCUGUGUCCGCGUGGGUGCCGUAAGAAGAAGGAAACAAACGGGGAAAGAGAAAUGCAGGGGGUAGGAAGGGGCAGGCUGGAAACGAAGGAUGGGGGGAAGGUUCCGUCAGUGCCUGCAUCUGCGCUGUGCUGCUUCCUGAGCGCCGCGGUUCUCAUCAGGAGCUCCUAACGAGGUCAUGAACUGAGGGGCGAUCAAAGGGACUGCAGGGGAGCCCAGGAAAGGCGGCGAGGAGCAGAGCUGCAAAGAGGCACUCGGAGCGAGACAACGUGAAGCCUUUAAGUCUUUUUGAGCGGCUACUGAGGUGGAAACAGCUGGGCUGAGGCGGAUGCUUUGAGACAGAACGUGGUUUGUGGGGACAGGACCAGCAAUGGAGACCUGAGUUUGGUCGGAACAGAGAGCUGAAGAAGACCUCUAUGAUGCAGGAUAAUUCUCUGCGCCCUCUCUGAUGGAAACCCCAAAGCACCCCUCUUCCCGUGCUGCUCUCCCACCUUGCCCAAUGGCAGGGCCGGUCAGCUGGCUGCCAUGUGCUCGGUGUGCUGGCAGCAGCUCAGCCUGCAUUCAGGGCGCGCUGCCUGCCCCACUGCUGCACCCACACUGCAGGACCGGGUGUGGUGGGUGCCCUCCAUCCAUCAUCUCCUGGGGCAGCACCUCCUGCGGUGCCCUGUGGGGCCGGGAGGGCCUUGGGGCACAGAGCCACAGGUAGGGAGAGGAUUCCCACACCCAUCUCCAAGACUUAUCUGAGGCACAGCUCUGCACAGCGAUGACAAAGCCACUGCUGUCACCGAGCAGUCACCAAAUGACACAGCCUGAGGAAAGCAGGCUAUGGGAGGAGGAUGGGAGCCGGGCACACGCUGGUGGAGAAGACAGGCUGUGCGGCGUUUUGGAGUGCAUCCACGGUGUGCUGGGUGCUGCGUGGUGCUGCAGGCCCUGCUGGGAGCGG